AUGGCAGGACAAGCGUUUAAGUUUCUUCCACUCUUUGACCGAGUAUUGGUUGAAAGGAGUGCUGUUGAAACUGUAACCAAAGGAGGCAUUAUGCUUCCAGAAAAAUCUCAAGGAAAAGUAUUGCAAGCAACAGUAGUCGCUGUUGGAUCGGGUUCUAAAGGAAAGGGUGGAGAGAUUCAACCAGUUCGUGUGAAAGUUGGAGAUAAAGUUCUUCUCCCAUAACAUGGAGGCACCAAAGUAGUUCUAGAUGACAAGGAUUAUUUCCUAUUUAGAGAUGGUGACGUUCUUGGAAAGUACGUAAACUGA
rnacentral:lncRNA from 1 species